UGGAGGAUUGAGACAAAAGAAAUUUCAUGAAGUUCAAGAAGGACAAGCGCAAAGUACUGCACUUACAACGGAACAAUCCCACACGCAGGUACAGACUAAGGACCAACAGGCUGAACAGCAGCUCUGCAGACAAGGACCUGGGGGUUACACUGCACAAUAAGGCGAACAUAAGCCAAAAGCAUGCCCUUGUUGCUACGAAGGCUAACGGCAUACUGGUCUACAUUAGUAGAAGUGUUGCCAGCAGUUCAAGGGAAGUGAUUAUUCCCC